rnacentral:rRNA from 1 species
UACAGAGGUCUCAAGCGUUGUUCGGAUUCAUUGGGCGUAAAGGGUGCGUAGGCGGCGCGGUAAGUCGGGUGUGAAAUCUCGGAGCUUAACUCCGAAAACUGCAUUCGAUACUGCCGUGCUUGAGGACUGGAGAGGAGACUGGAAUUUACGGUGUAGCGGUGAAAUGCGUAGAUAUCGUAAGGAAGACCAGUGGCGAAGGCGGGUCUCUGGACAGUUCCUGACGCUGAGGCACGAAGGCCCAGGGGGAGCAAAACGGGG